GUCGACUUGGAGGUUGUGCCCUUGAGGCGUGGGCUUCCGGAGCUAACGCGUUAAGUCGACCCGCCUGGGGAGUACGGCCGCAAGGUUAAAACUCAAAUGAAUUGACGGGGGCCCGCACAAAGCGGUGGAGCAUGUGGUUUAAUUCGAUGCAACGCGAAGAACCUUACCUACUCUUGACAUCCAGAGAACUUUCCAGAGAUGGAUUGGUGCCUUCGGGAACUCUGAGACAGGUGCUGCAUGGCUGUCGUCAGCUCGUGUUGUGAAAUGUUGGGUUAAGUCCCGCAACGAGCGCAACCCUUAUCCUUUGUUGCCAGCGGUUCGGUCGGGAACUCAAAGGAGACUGCCAGUGAUAAACUGGAGGAAGGUGGGGAUGACGUCAAGUCAUCAUGGCCCUUACGAGUAGGGCUACACACGUGCUACAAUGGCGCAUACAAAGAGAAGCGACCUCGCGAGAGCAAGCGGACCUCAUAAAGUGCGUCGUAGUCCGGAUUGGAGUCUGCAACUCGACUCCAUGAAGUCGGAAUCGCUAGUAAUCGUAGAUCAGAAUGCUACGGUGAAUACGUUCCCGGGCCUUGUACACACCGCCCGUCACACCAUGGGAGUGGG
rnacentral:rRNA from 1 species